GGCCAGGUAGCUCAGUCGGUAGAGCAGCGGAUUGAAAAUCCGCGUGUCGGUGGUUCGAUUCCACUCCUGGCCA
rnacentral:tRNA from 1 species